GACCUCGGAUCAGGUAGGGAUACCCGCUGAACUUAAGCAUAUCAAAAGCCGGAGGAA
rnacentral:rRNA from 2 species